GAUGAACGCUAGCUACAGGCUUAACACAUGCAAGUCGAGGGGCAGCGCAGUGUAGCAAUACAUGGGCGGCGACCGGCGCACGGGUGCGUAACGCGUAUCCAACCUUCCCGUUACUCAGGGAUAGCCUUCCGAAAGGGAGAUUAAUACCUGAUGGUGUUGAAAUUUCGCAUGUUAUUUCAACUAAAGAUUUAUCGGUAACGGAUGGGGAUGCGUGACAUUAGAUAGUAGGCGGGGUAACGGCCCACCUAGUCUACGAUGUCUAGGGGUUCUGAGAGGAAGGUCCCCCACACUGGAACUGAGACACGGUCCAGACUCCUACGGGAGGCAGCAGUGAGGAAUAUUGGUCAAUGGUCGGAAGACUGAACCAGCCAAGUAGCGUGAAGGAUGAAGGUUCUAUGGAUUGUAAACUUCUUUUAAGAGGGAAUAAAACCUCCUACGUGUGGGAGCUUGUAUGUACCGUAUGAAUAAGCAUCGGCUAACUCCGUG
rnacentral:rRNA from 1 species